UUAAGUAAAUCUCGAACGGCUUAAUCUGAACACAAGCCGCACGAGAUUUACUUGUGU
rnacentral:precursor_RNA from 1 species